rnacentral:lncRNA from 1 species
GUCAGAAAAGGACACCAUGUAACAGCCCAAACACACACACGUCAACAGAUUCAAAAAGUUCUAGGUGUUCUCAUUCUAGUCAGACUUAUCAAUAGUAGGCUAACAGUACUAUUACUGCUAUUUACAUAUUGGUACCACACCAGCGUGGAUUUGCAUAAUGUAUUGAAGCUCUAUGCUCUAGAGAGUUGCAUUGUAACAUAUUGGUGCUUAAUGAACUCUGAAAAAAUUGAUUUUCCACAGAGUAAAUUAAGGAAUGCAUUAUAGCUGUUAAAGCAAUCUUAAGGGAAAUCCGAAGCUUCCACUGCAGCACCAUGCUUAGAAGUUCCUGUUUUCUUCAAUGUCAAAUAGCAGUGAAAACAAAAAAUCUCCCACUUCCAGUUCUAGGAGAAUAUUAGGCUGCACAGAUCCAGAGACUAACUUCUGGAGUUCCAGGGAAGUGCUGAACCAGAUGUCCUGGUGCAUGAGGCCUGGUUUCUCUACCAUAGCAAAAUUUAGAAUCUGCAAAGUGGACACCAGCCUAACCUGUAACAUAGAAGUUCCUUGCCCUCAUGGAGUUCACGGAACUUGGAUAUAGAAAGAUGGACUUCUAGAUUAGCCUCCUGAAGGGUCCAAAAGAGUGAAGUCCAUCAAACAUGGAUGCAUAAGGUAGAGGAAAAGAGUGACACAGAAUCCGUUACAUGAUGCUGCUGAGCAAGAAUUUUCAGUUGAUGAGAAUUACAUAUUAAAUAUGAAGCCCUUCAGGAAUCUGUUUCUUUCUAUCAGUGCGGUCUACCUUGUUGAUUUUUCAACAAAAUUGAGACCAGGAUCAUCUAAAAAGUAAAAAUCAUGACUUCUGACUAUUCUCUUUACUGUAGUACUCAUCCCC